AUUGAACGCUGGCGGCAGGCCUAACACAUGCAAGUCGAGCGGAUGAAGGGAGCUUGCUCCUGGAUUCAGCGGCGGACGGGUGAGUAAUGCCUAGGAAUCUGCCUGGUAGUGGGGGAUAACGUCCGGAAACGGGCGCUAAUACCGCAUACGUCCUGAGGGAGAAAGUGGGGGAUCUUCGGACCUCACGCUAUCAGAUGAUCCUAGGUCGGAUUAGCUAGUUGGUGGGGUAAAGGCCUACCAAGGCGACGAUCCGUAACUGGUCUGAGAGGAUGAUCAGUCACACUGGAACUGAGACACGGUCCAGACUCCUACGAGAGGCAGCAGUGGGGAAUAUUGGACAAUGGGCGAAAGCCUGAUCCAGCCAUGCCGCGUGUGUGAAGAAGGUCUUCGGAUUGUAAAGCACUUUAAGUUGGGAGGAAGGGCAGUAAGUUAAUACCUUGCUGUUUUGACGUUACCAACAGAAUAAGCACCGGCUAACUUCGUG
rnacentral:rRNA from 1 species